rnacentral:rRNA from 1 species
UACAGAGGUCUCAAGCGUUGUUCGGAUUCAUUGGGCGUAAAGCGCACGUAGUCGGCUUUGCAAGCCGGUUGUGAAAUCCCCGGGCUCAACCUGGGAACUGCAUCCGGGACUGCAUUGCUAGAGUAUGGGAGAGGGAAGCGGAAUUUCUGGUGUAGCAGUGAAAUGCGUAGAUAUCAGAAGGAACAUCAGUGGCGAAGGCGGCUUCCUGGACCAAUACUGACGAUCAGGUGCGAAAGCGUGGGGAGCAAACAGG